rnacentral:tRNA from 1 species
GGCUUGGUAGCUCAGUUGGUAGAGCAGUGGACAGAAAAUCCAUGUGUCGCUGGUUCGAUUCCGACCCGAGCCA